rnacentral:rRNA from 1 species
GACGAACGCUGGCGGCGUGCUUAACACAUGCAAGUCGAACGGAAAGGCCCUGCUUUUGUGGGGUGCUCGAGUGGCGAACGGGUGAGUAACACGUGAGUAACCUGCCCUUGACUUUGGGAUAACUUCAGGAAACUGGGGCUAAUACCGGAUAGGAGCUCCUGCUGCAUGGUGGGGGUUGGAAAGUUUCGGCGGUUGGGGAUGGACUCGCGGCUUAUCAGCUUGUUGGUGGGGUAGUGGCUUACCAAGGCUUUGACGGGUAGCCGGCCUGAGAGGGUGACCGGCCACAUUGGGACUGAGAUACGGCCCAGACUCCUACGGAAGGCAGAAGUGGGGAAUAUUGCACAAUGGGCGGAAGCCUGAUGCAGCAACGCCGCGUGCGGGAUGACGGCCUUCGGGUUGUAAACCGCUUUCGCCGGUAACGAAGCGUGAGUGACGGUAAUGGGUAAAGAAGCACCGGCUAACUACGUG